rnacentral:lncRNA from 1 species
ACAUGGCAUUAAAUUUAAACAUUAAAAAAUGUAAAACCAAACACAUUAGCUAUUUUGUUUCUGUCUGUGUGUUUUAAGCAGCGUUCUUGUUUUAUCUUUCAGCGCAAGAACUUGCCAGUCAAGAUGAAAAACUUCUUCUAAUGGAAUCCAGCUUGAAAACUGCUCAAGAGCGGCUGAGCGAACAGCAAGAGUUCGCCAAGAACACAACAGUAGAAAAGCCCAGGCUGAGCCGAAGACAGUGACAGAGGGAAUUAUGGCUUCUGAAGAAGAAUCAAAUGACAGCAAAUACGGCCAAGGUGGGAGCCGUGGACAGAUGUGCUGUGUCUCUGCUGCACCUACCUGCCAGGGGCCUUCUCAUCUUACAGAUUUGAGAGUCCAAAGGUUACACAUGGCUCUGGUUGCCUUUCUUUUUUUGUUAAAGUAGCGGCUCUAAGCAAAUGGCGACUAAAUCGAAGGACAUUAAGAGCAGAAUUUGGGCACACACCAUUGAAGCAUGGAAAGGGCUAUGAAGAAAACGUCUGGGCCAGCUUUGAAACUGUCAUGAAAUCCAUUCUUAGUGAAAGCCUCUGAGUAUGAUUUUUAUCAUUUACAUUUCAAAUAAGUAUUACAGAACCUGUUUAGAAAUUCCUUAUUUUGUUUUUUUUCCUCUGCCUUCUCCUUGAUUUUACUUAGUUUGUUAUUAAAAAAAAUAAUAAUGAAAAUGUCAUAACCUACGUAAGUUC